AUGCAGUCGAACGGCAGCACGGAGCUUGCUCUGGUGGCGAGUGGCGAACGGGUGAGUAAUAUAUCGGAACGUACCCUAGAGUGGGGGAUAACGUAGCGAAAGUUACGCUAAUACCGCAUACGAUCUAAGGAUGAAAGUGGGGGAUCGCAAGACCUCAUGCUCGUGGAGCGGCCGAUAUCUGAUUAGCUAGUUGGUAGGGUAAAAGCCUACCAAGGCAUCGAUCAGUAGCUGGUCUGAGAGGACGACCAGCCACACUGGAACUGAGACACGGUCCAGACUCCUACGGGAGGCAGCAGUGGGGAAUUUUGGACAAUGGGCGAAAGCCUGAUCCAGCAAUGCCGCGUGAGUGAAGAAGGCCUUCGGGUUGUAAAGCUCUUUUGUCAGGGAAGAAACGGUGAGAGCUAAUAUCUCUUGCUAAUGACGGUACCUGAAGAAUAAGCACCGGCUAACUACGUGCCAGCAGCCGCGGUAAUACGUAGGGUGCAAGCGUUAAUCGGAAUUACUGGGCGUAAAGCGUGCGCAGGCGGUUUUGUAAGUCUGAUGUGAAAUCCCCGGGCUCAACCUGGGAAUUGCAUUGGAGACUGCAAGGCUAGAAUCUGGCAGAGGGGGGUAGAAUUCCACGUGUAGCAGUGAAAUGCGUAGAUAUGUGGAGGAACACCGAUGGCGAAGGCAGCCCCCUGGGUCAAGAUUGACGCUCAUGCACGAAAGCGUGGGGAGCAAACAGGAUUAGAUACCCUGGUAGUCCACGCCCUAAACGAUGUCUACUAGUUGUCGGGUCUUAAUUGACUUGGUAACGCAGCUAACGCGUGAAGUAGACCGCCUGGGGAGUACGGUCGCAAGAUUAAAACUCAAAGGAAUUGACGGGGACCCGCACAAGCGGUGGAUGAUGUGGAUUAAUUC
rnacentral:rRNA from 1 species